UGGCUCAGGACGAACGCUGGCGGCGUGCUUAACACAUGCAAGUCGAACGAGAAGAGAUGAGAAGCUUGCUUCUUAUCAAUUCGAGUGGCAAACGGGUGAGUAACGCGUAAGCAACCUGCCCUUCAGAUGGGGACAACAGCUGGAAACGGCUGCUAAUACCGCAUAUGCCUAAGUAUCACAUGAUACAAUAGGGAAAGGAGCAAUCCGCUGAUAGAUGGGCUUGCGUCUGAUUAGAUAGUUGGUGGGGUAACGGCCUACCAAGUCGACGAUCAGUAGCCGGACUGAGAGGUUGAACGGCCACAUUGGGACUGAGAUACGGCCCAGACUCCUACGGGAGGCAGCAGUGGGGAAUAUUGGUCAAUGGGGGAAACCCUGAACCAGCAACGCCGCGUGAAGGAAGAAGGCUUUCGGGUUGUAAACUUCUUUGACGAGGGACGAAGGACGUGACGGUACCUCGAAAACAAGCCACGGCUAACUACGUG
rnacentral:rRNA from 1 species